rnacentral:tRNA from 2 species
GGGCGCGUAGCUCAGCAUGGACAGAGCGACGGCCUCCUAAGCCGUAGGUCGCGGGUUCAAAUCCCGCCGCGCCCGCCA